rnacentral:rRNA from 1 species
GACGAACGCUGGCGGCGUGCCUAAUACAUGCAAGUCGAACGCAGUGGGGACGGGUGAGUAACACGUGGGUAACCUCCCAUCAGAGGGGAUAACACCUGGAAACAGGUGCUAAACCGAUACUGAUGGAUGGACCCGCGGUGCAUUAGCUAGUUGGUGAGGUAACGGCUCACCAAGGCCACGAUGCAUAGCCGCCCUGAGGGGGUGAGAGGCCGCCCUAGGACGUGGACACGGCCCAGACUCCUACGGGAGGCAGGAGUAGUGAAUCGGCGGCAAUGAACGAAAAUCUAACAGAGCAACGCCGCGUGAGUGAAGAAGGUUUACGGAUCGUAAGACCCUGUUGUUAGAGAAGCGGUAUCUAACCAGAAAGCCACGGCUAAAUACGUGCCAGCAGCCGCGGUAAUAC